UACGUAGGGGGCAAGCGUUGUCCGGAUUUAUUGGGCGUAAAGAGCGUGUAGGCGGCCAAGCAGGUCCGCUGUGAAAACUCGAGGCUCAACCUCGAGACGUCGGUGGAAACCGUUUGGCUAGAGUCCGGAAGAGGAGAGUGGAAUUCCUGGUGUAGCGGUGAAAUGCGCAGAUAUCAGGAAGAACACCAAUGGCGAAGGCAGCUCUCUGGGACGGUACUGACGCUGAGGAGCGAAAGCGUGGGGAGCGAACAGG
rnacentral:rRNA from 1 species